rnacentral:rRNA from 1 species
UACGUAGGCAGCAAGCGUUGUUCGGAAUUACUGGGCGUAAAGAGUGUGUAGGCGGUGCUCUAAGUCUGGUGUGAAAUCUCCCGGCUUAACUGGGAGGGUGCAUUAGAAACUGGAAUGCUAGAGGAUGGGAGAGGUAAGCGGAAUUCCUGGUGUAGCGGUGAAAUGCGUAGAUAUCAGGAGGAACACCUGUGGUGUAGACAGCUUACUGGACCAUUUCUGACGCUGAGACACGAAAGCGUGGGUAGCAAACAGG